rnacentral:lncRNA from 1 species
CUUGAAAUCAUUCUGCUAGAGGCAAGUUGUCUCACUUUUAGCGGGGGUUAUCCGGAAAUAGUUUUAUUUUUCCCUAAAAUUCUGCCACCUUGGUAGUGCAUAUUUCAUUUAUUUUGGUCUUCUCAGCCCAGGUUGAUUGCCAGAACUCCUCCGUUGCUGCUUCCUGAUCUGCCUCUGUGUUCUUUAAAACCUGGCAAGGACACUGUGAAGGAACAUAGUAGCAAAUAUGUGGAUUCUCUCAAUAUAUUUCCUUCCUCUUUAGAUCUUGAGCUACUAAGUCCUGGCUACCUUAACUGUACAC